GAUGAACGCUGGCGGCGUGCCUAAUACAUGCAAGUCGAGCGAACGGACGAGAAGCUUGCUUCUCUGAUGUUAGCGGCGGACGGGUGAGUAACACGUGGAUAACCUACCUAUAAGACUGGGAUAACUUCGGGAAACCGGAGCUAAUACCGGAUAAUAUUUUGAACCGCAUGGUUCAAAAGUGAAAGACGGUCUUGCUGUCACUUAUAGAUGGAUCCGCGCUGCAUUAGCUAGUUGGUAAGGUAACGGCUUACCAAGGCAACGAUGCAUAGCCGACCUGAGAGGGUGAUCGGCCACACUGGAACUGAGACACGGUCCAGACUCCUACGGGAGGCAGCAGUAGGGAAUCUUCCGCAAUGGGCGAAAGCCUGACGGAGCAACGCCGCGUGAGUGAUGAAGGUCUUCGGAUCGUAAAACUCUGUUAUUAGGGAAGAACAUAUGUGUAAGUAACUGUGCACAGCUUGACGGUACCUAAUCAGAAAGCCACGGCUAACUACGUG
rnacentral:rRNA from 1 species